UCACUCUGGUUUCUCUGCAAUACGCAUAAAUCUUUCGCCUUUUACUAAAGAUUUCCGUGCAGAGGAACACAUUGAUGAGUCUAUAAGAUUUUUCUCCUGCCCAGUGGAAACACAGGGCA